UACGUAGGUGGCAAGCGUUGUCCGGAUUUAUUGGGUUUAAAGGGUGCGUAGGCGGCCCUGUAAGUCAGUGGUGAAAUACCCCGGCUUAACCGGGGGGGUGGCAUUGAUACUGCAGGGCUUGAGUACAGAUGAGGUAGGCGGAAUUGACGGUGUAGCGGUGAAAUGCAUAGAUAUCGUCAAGAACACCGAUAGCGAAGGCAGCUUACUGGGCUGUAACUGACGCUGAUGCACGAAAGUGUGGGGAUCAAACAGG
rnacentral:rRNA from 1 species